rnacentral:lncRNA from 1 species
GAACCUCUCGGCAGCUCGGAAGGCCGGCCGCUCCCAGCCAAGAAAGAAACACAACGGCGACACGCAUGCAUAGGUAUGCGGAACCGGUCGCGUCGCAUGGGCCUCGUCGACCAGCUCUGGGACGACACGGUACGGCGGCCGGACAACGGCCUCGGCAAGCUCCAAAGGUACUCCUCCUUCUCGCCCUCCUCUUCCUCGUCGGGAGCGGCAGCAGCAGACGCAGCGACGGCGGUGACCCUCAUUCUCGCGGCCGACCUUCUCGCGGCCGACCUCAAUCGUCACCGCUGCCGAUCUCAACCCACCCGCCUCCGCGGCCGUACAUCUCCCCGCUCACUGUCCCCGUUGCGGCGCUCGAGCGCAUCGCGUCGACCCUGGUCCACUCUGGUCUGUGCCCAGGCCGCUGUCACACGACUCGCCGCCGCGGCCGACCUUAACCACCACUGUUGUCGAUCUCAACCCACCCGCCUCCGCGGCCGUACCUCUGCCCUCUUGCUGCCCCGUUUCGGCGCUCGAGCACAGCUUCUGGAUCAAAUAAACGCGACAGCUACAGUGAUUGGGGAUGAUGCUCUGCUCGAUGCAGAACGGCGGCAAUGCGCGGAUAAGGCGCGGCGGAGCGAAGUACUUGCAAGUGGAGGCGGGCCUCCAUGGCUCACACGGGGAACUCCGAGGUUAUGGCGCGGCAACGACGACUCCUUAUGGCCAGAUAGAGGUGCCUAACCCUUGCUCCCUCAUCGUAUCCCCUCCUCCGGCAGGAACUCAUCAUCUGGUGAGAUCUCCUCCCCAUGCCUCUAACCGUGUGCUAAGGACCGGCAAGAAAUUUUGUUUUUGUGGGGAUUUGUUUGUUGAUGAAUGAAUGUAUUGAAUGUAAGAUUCAUUUUUGUAGAGACAGAGAAUGGAACACCACCUUCAGUUUGUCAUCUGAUCCCACAUUCUCUACCCCAUGAGUGAAAUAAGAUAACAGUCCAUUGAUCAAUUCACGUAGCCUCUUUGUUUUGCUUUGCUUGUUCCGCUCAAUUUCUCAUCAUGGUGGAAUUAACAAUGGACGGGUUGAUUUCUCAACAAAAUAGGGUAGGACUGACUACAUUAGUUAGUUACUUAUAAAUCAAAAUGAUUAUAAAAUGUGGUAUUUUUUUUCCCGUUGCAACGCACGGGUCCUUUUGCUAGUAACAUACAAAGACAGAAGGUUCUAACUUCGGAUCAACAUGCUUGCAGGGUGGUGAUCAGUUCCUUGGACUGAUGAAGUAGAAGUAAUCAAGCAUGAAAUAAUCGAUCGAACAAGAAGAGGAUGUAGCUGGCAUAGUUGAGGUCGUGUGUUUGUUGCGCCAUAUGCAUACAUGCUAUUUCUGUAAUCGUUGGUUAACUAGGUGCACUGUCUUUUCUUCUUCUUUUAUGUAGCUGUGCACCCUUUCGGGGUGUCAAAGUGUGUGAUGUGGUCGAGAUGUGUUGCCUUCACGGGGCGCCUUUUUGUGUGUGGAAAAGAUGAGCGCUGAAAUCAAGAUGCAAUGCAAGUGUUCGAUCAUGCUUUCUUU